GUUGUACGCUCCAUGCCAUUUUCGUUCUUGUCCACAGCCUCAUUUGUUCUUGCCCCUCCCUCCGCCCCAACCUCGGGGGCCGCCGGCGACCUCCUCACCAGCCUCGUCCCCUGCGCCCUUGCACUCGCCCCCACCCUCCCCUUCCUCGACCUUUCCUUCGAUGCCUCCACAGCACCCUGCUCCUCCGGCCCGCCGGCCCAACGGGGCCGGCUCAAGUGAUGAGCUUUUGGGGGGAGUCCGGGCCUUUCUCGUUCUUCUCUUUUUCUUAGGCCUCCCGGGUUUCCUGCGAAGUCCUGCGAACCGCGUCCCUGGCUGAGAGCAUGAUUCGAGAACUCACGUAUAAUUUGCAAGAACAGCCUUUUUGCUCCCCUCUCAUGUUGAAACCCUAAAUGUUCGGGACGUAGGAGAUUGAUGGGGACGACGGAAGUGUGCGAGGAGAAGCUCCGGACGGGCAAUCUUUAUCACGAUCCCACCAUGAACCUGGCCUCGGCUCCCCCCGCUGCCCCCGUUGUCUUUCCCUCGGAAAACAGGAGUGGACGUUCACUUAUGUGUUGCAUGAUGCGACUGCUGUGAUAUGUGGAUACUUCGUCACAUACUUCUCUUAGAGAUUUUUUACCCUUGUGCAGUACUUUUUUAUUAUAGUGACUGGUUGAUGGUAUUUAUUUAUUUUGAGCUCGAGGUUUUAUUUGAAUCAUCUGCUAAUUGUUGGAUAGGCCGGUUCGGGGGCUGGCGCAAUUCUUGGUGCUGUCCACGGAUUCAAUACGGGAAUUCCAUUUCUGCAAAAGCACGUGAAAGGACCCAAAUGGCUGCAUUUCUUUAUCGAGGAAAGUCUACAAUAAUCAAUAUCGGCAAACCGCCUAGGUGGCCCUAGACGUUGACAUCCUUCAAGGUUUAGGCAGAAUGCCUAAGUGGUCAGGCAGGUGCUAGAGGCAAAAUGAGGCUUAUCCUAGUCUUAACACCCUCUUUGCUCAGCAACUAAAGGUUCUAGCUUCGCUUCUUGGAUAUGGUGCAUCUCGAAAAAAAGAUGGAUCUGGGUAAUUAUAGUGCAGUUUAUCCGGUUCCUAAGUUUGCCCAGCUCACUGUGACAUCCUAUUAUGCUGCUUCAAGUGCAUCACACUAUGAUAUAUAUCUCAGAUUACCAGGUAUGUCGAAGCUGCUCUCACGAUCUUCAUGAUAAGCCCAGAUGAUGAGGUUACAGAGCCCCUCUUUGUGACAUCUAAAUCAGCAGGAGCCAGCUUAUCAAGCUAGUGAAGUCCUUGGCGGUUGAACCAAGUGAUCUAGGAUUGAUUAGGUCUCACUUUUACUCGCCUUAACCAAUAGUUGGGGUUUCAUAAUUUCUCAGCUUGUUGGUGGUCCAAAUUUUAAAGUAAACGGAGAGCAUGCUCAUCUGCUGUAAUGUGGACGUCCAACUUAGUUUGCUACCAAGCGGAGCAAGAAAAAUGGUUCACGGUAGCUUUAAAGAUGGACUUAUCGGGGAAGGCCAACAGCCCCCUCCUUUCAAAAACCAUGCCGGCCAUUCUCAAAACUUCCAUGUGGAAGUCCUGCACAAAGUAGUAGAGACCUCGUCUGAUCAAACAGUGCCAGGCCAUCUUUUCGGUAUUGGUGUCCGAGUAAAGAUUUGAAAGGUGCCGAAACCAGAUCUAAGUGCACGGUUCAUACCGGACCGGGGCAAGAUCUAUCCGGUUUUGCUACAUUUAGGGGCGGAUCGAGACAAACUGCACUCAAACCUGAACCGCCAUUGGAUUCGCCCAACUUGAUGGGUUCGGGUCCUCGGCACUGGAAAGCUGAUCAAUUCUUAUUGUGGUAGGUUGAAAGAUAAAUGAACCGGAGUUUUUUGAAAACUUCAAAAGAUUAUAUAUACAUAAAAUGGGGUAAAGGGAAUUCAAGCCAUGAACCCGUAUGGCUUACCAUCCAACUACCAAGAUACAUUUGGUGCUGCAUUUGGUGGUUUAACUUGUUUGUAUGUAUAUGUCGUCAGAUGGAACAAUUUAGA